UCUUUGUUCAAAUUUUGGAUUGACCCUUACAUCUUUAUAAAAUAUCAUUUCUUUAAUACAAAUAUGAGUAUGAAAAAUUUUGUAAUACAAUCUCCCGUCAAUCCAUAACAUUCAAGACACUAACAUUACUUUCAAAAUCACACAACUCGUGCAUUACACGAGCCAAAAACUAGUAUUAGGGAUAAAGCCCCACUUCACAUUGCCAUGCAUCUUGCUCAUAUCUGACCUCAUAGUCAUAAACCCAAGCUUCCCAUUAAUCCAUCUUUUAAGAAAUGCAUCUGUUAUAUCCAAAAAUUACGUGGCAUACGAAUGAUGGAGGGGUCCUACAAUGGUCGACGGGACAUCACCUAGUUUACAAUUCAUAUUUCAAGUCCGACCGGCAUAUAAAUAAUACGACUCAAAUUUCGAGGAUGUUGUUAUACAUAUUUCAUAUUAGGCCUCAUUAGACUUGGCCCAUUCCUUGAACCUGUUUGGCCCACCUCAAUUUCUAUAUAUAUGGGUUCACUUCGCAACAUAAGAUACGUUUAAAAACCCGAACCAAACCCCCUCUCCCGUCUGGACACUCUUUAUUUUCUUUUUGUCCGACCGUUGACUUGAUCGUCGGAGUGCGAACGGUCGCCAGACAUUUUUUAUAGACGGCCUUUGCAUCCUAACGGGGUGUUCCGUACGUAGGUUUGGAGGGGACAAUGUCGGGAUUCUGUUGGCACAUUUUUUUAGGUCAACUGAUUGGCGCGGUAUGUGGAAAACGGUACUAGCCAUGUUAUACCAUGUACAAAAAGAUCACCAAAAAUUUCCAUUUUUCCGAUUAGUUUCUCUACCGAAAAAAGAGGCAUUUUCUGGGCAGAUUGUUCUACCAAAAAUCAUGAGGUUAGCCAGGAAAAAUUUGAAGAAAAACACUACUGAAAUGGGAAUUUUUGAACUAAAAAACCAGCUGCCAAAAGGAUAUUGGAACAUUCACUAUCAAAUCCCUUUCCCACCACUCACAAUUAUAAAAACCAAACAUUCUCAAAAACCCACCUUGUUAAUGUGCAAAAUCAUCCUACAGAAUCUUCUCUCAAAAUUUCAAAAGUCAAGUUUCUUUUUUUUUUUUUUUUCAACAAGAGGACUCACUUUGUUAAGAGUUCUCAAUGUACAAUACGGUGGAUGCGAACUCUUCGGCCAUGAUGUAGCUUCAAGGUACUAUCAACAAAAUCACCUGCAGCCUCCGUUUAUGAUCGUUGAGGCAGCCGACUAUAGCAGUCGGCCGAUAGCAGUACAACAGGUGACUGGAAAUGAGGCGAAAUUAUCUUCACGAGGCUUGGAAAUUUUCAAUUUUGACUUAGAGCCCGGGAUGGAGAAUGGGUUUUAUUAUAAUGUCUAAAGUGGAGGCCUUCGGCGAGGUUCACGAGGACAAACAUCUGGUAAAGGCCGCAAUCCUCAUCAUUCAAGAAGCAAUACCAACACUGGUCCAUGGAUCUUUCACGCUAUUAAACUUUGAUGGAGACAUGAACGUUAUAGUGGCGUGUUCGGAUAGAGACGGGUCAUUCAUUUCUACUUUUGGCAGGCAAUUUUGGUUGGCAUGAAAACAGGUUACUCAUUCUUAUGUCCUUUUUUGGCUGAACUUUCUCUCCAUGUUUUGACUUUUUCACAAGCCAUUUAAUGUUUCUCUUAUUGGGCCGGGUUAUUCCAUUGAAUCACUGAAUAUUCCUCUUAAAUUGUGGCCCAAUGAGUUAAAGAAGUUGAAAGGGCUUGAAGAUCUCUUUUGGGCUUUGUUUUUGGAUUAUGCCAGUUGGAC
rnacentral:lncRNA from 1 species